GGAUUAGAUACCCUGGUAGUCCACGCCGUAAACGAUGGAUACUAGGUGUGGGAGGUUAUUUACCCCUUCUGUGCCGAAGCAAACGCGUUAAGUAUCCCGCCUGGGGACUACGGCCGCAAGGUUAAAACUCAAAGGAAUUGACGGGGGCCCGCACAAGCAGCGGAGCGUGUGGUUUAAUUCGAUGAUACGCGAAGAACCUUACCUGGGCUGAACUACGUGGUAGUAGAGAAGUGAAAGCGGAUCGACCCUUCGGGGAGCCUCGAUAGGUGCUGCAUGGCUGUCGUCAGCUCGUGCCG
rnacentral:rRNA from 1 species